UUGAAUUUGCGGUUGCAUCGUCGUGUCCAGUUGCUGGUCUUAGCGUCUAGUCUUUUAGAGUUUCGAGUUCUGUUCACAGGUUGUCACGUCGCCGCUGCCAUAUAUCACCACCGCAUCAUCAUCGUCGCUGUUGCCAUAUACCACCACCACAUAUUCACCGCCAAUCCGAAUCCAUAUACGCCACCACAUAUCCGCCGCCAUCACGCCAAUCCGAGUUCACCUGCAACAUAUAUCCGCCACCUGUCCGAGUUCCACCAGAUUCAUCUCCGCCACCAGUCCGAGUUCCACCAGAUUCAUCUCCGCCACCAGUCCUAGUCCGAGUCCAGUAAUUGUUGCAUUGUUCUCGAUUUCCAGAUCACGCGAUACUCCGAGUCGUGACAGAGAAGGACUUCCCAACUUCCGAGCCAUCCGC
rnacentral:lncRNA from 1 species